rnacentral:lncRNA from 1 species
AGAGCUUGUUGUCAAGGUUGCUGAAUAGACGACUGCAUAGUGAAGACACUCCCACUGAGUUUUCGUUUGUUUGUUUGGUUUUUUUGAGUCGGAGUCUCGCUCUGUCACCCAGGUUGGAGUGCAAUGGAGCGAUCUCGGCUCACUGCAACCUCCCGCUGCUUAGUUGAAACGAUUCUCCUGCCUCGUCCUCCCGAGUAGCUGGGAUUAGGGGCGCCCGCCACCACGCCCAGCUAAUCUUUGUGUUUUUUUGUUGUUUUUUUGGAUUUUUUUUUUGAGGCGGAGUCUCGCUCUUGUAGCCCUGGCUGGAGUGCAGUGGCGCAAUCUCGGCUCACUGCAACCUCCGCCUUUCGGGUUCAACAGAUUCUCCUGCCUCAGCCUCCCGAGUAGUUGGGACUACAGGCGCCCACCACCACACCUGGCUAAUCUUUGUAUUUUUAGUAGAGACAGUGUUUGGCCAUGUUAGCCAGGCUGGCUUUGAACUCCUGACCUCUGGUGAUACACCCGCCUCAGCCUGCCAAAGUGCUGGGAUUACUUACAGGCGUGAGCCACCGUGCCCGGCAACUCUUUGUAUUUUUAGUAGAGACGAGGUUUCACCAUGUUGUCCAGGCUGGUCUCGAAGUCCUGACCUCGUGAUCCACUUGCCUCGGCCUCGCUAAGUGCUGGGAUUACAGGCGUGAGCCACCGCACCUGGCCUGAGUUAUUUUUAUUCGUGUCCUUUCAUCUGUUCCACAGGUGCAACGGUGUAAAUACUGUUUUUGAAAAUGAUGUAACACUAUUAGGUUCGU